UUAACAGGGUCAUGAAAGGGACGCUAACAACGAGCCCUAGUGAAAGUAAUUUUGCGACACCGUCAAAUUGCGGGAAGUUCCUAAAGCCUCUACUACCGCGGCCGAUCGAAAGAUGCGGUGCAGCACCAGGGUAAUGACCUCGGGGAUGGUAAAAACGUAGAGGAUGCAACAAUGGAUGAUCCGCAGCCAAGUCCUAAUGCUAGUUGAUAGCGAUGGAUGCAGUUCAACGACUAGAUGUCGGUGGGUGAUGACCUUUGCUGGUUGUCGCCUAAGAUAUAGUCUCCUCCCAUGGCGAAAGCGAUGG
rfam:Protomyces lactucaedebilis strain 12-1054 BCR37scaffold_41, whole genome shotgun sequence.